GGGGCUGUGGCUCAGUGGUAGAGCACUCACUUUGCAUGUGUGAAGCACUGGGUUCAAUCUUCAGCACCA
rnacentral:tRNA from 1 species